GGGGAUUUAGCUCAGUGGCAUAAGCACCUGCCUUGUAAUCAGGCAGUUGUGAGUUUAAUCCCCG
rnacentral:tRNA from 1 species